AUUGAACGCUGGCGGCAGGCCUAACACAUGCAAGUCGAGCGGAUGAAGGGAGCUUGCUCCUGGAUUCAGCGGCGGACGGGUGAGUAAUGCCUAGGAAUCUGCCUGGUAGUGGGGGAUAACGUCCGGAAACGGGCGCUAAUACCGCAUACGUCCUGAGGGAGAAAGUGGGGGAUCUUCGGACCUCACGCUAUCAGAUGAGUCUAGGUCGGAUUAGCUCGUUGGUGGGGUAAAGGCCUACCAAGGCGACGAUCCGUAACUGGUCUGAGAGGAUGAUCAGUCACACUGGAACUGAGACACGGUCCAGACUCCUACGGGAGGCAGCAGUGGGGAAUAUUGGACAAUGGGCGAAAGCCUGAUCCAGCCAUGCCGCGUGUGUGAAGAAGGUCUUCGGAUUGUAAAGCACUUUAAGUUGGGAGGAAGGGCAGUAAGUUAAUACCUUGCUGUUUUGACGUUACCAACAGAAUAAGCACCGGCUAACUUCGUG
rnacentral:rRNA from 1 species